rnacentral:lncRNA from 1 species
AAGUGCCUCUUAUAUCCACAGAGAAGAAGUGCGGAAUUAUCCAUAAACUUCAAAACCUGAGCCUGGCUGUGCGGGGGGAGCUAAUAGACAACUCUGCAAAGGACGGGAAUCCUUUUGAAAGGAAGCGUGGAGCUCUCACAAAAGAGAAGAAACCUGGAGCAAUAAACAAUUUCUGUCUACACAAAGAGGGGCAGUCACAUUCCCAUCUUAGAUCCUUUAUUUUGGACUCCAGUUGGUGUGAAUUGAAACUGCCUUUUAGUUGGGAGCUACAUCAAUGCUGGGACCUUGAGAUUACAAUGGAUGCUCAUUACACGUGAGAUGAAAGUUGAGAAGUCGUGUCCAUCAAAAGGUGCUGGAUUGACGGCAUCAGAAAUUAUAUGCGGAGAGAGCCUGUUGCAGUGAAGAAGGUGGGGUUUGCCUCCCGCAGGUGAGGCCCUUCUCCAGCCCCAUGCCCAAUAUUACCAUGGCACUCAUAAAAACACCAUCUAUCCUAUUCUUUGUUUUUUGCUGCCUGGGAACUCCUCAAGGGCAGGAUCUUAUUGAAGAUGUUUGUAUCAGCAGCACCUGGCAGAGUGCCUGGGCCCAAAAGUACACUCCCAAGAAACAUUUGCUGAAUUUAAUUACAACAUCUUGCAGGUUCUCUGACCAUCCAGUGCCUUGCUGUUUAAUAAAGAGAUGGGGAUCUCGCCGUGUUGCUCAGACUGGUGUCAAAUUCCUGGACUCAAGCCAUCCUUCCACCUCGGCCUCCCAAACUGUUGGGAUUACAGGACAUAGUGGUUGCUUCCAAUGCUUGGAGGGUCUGAAUAGAGCAUCUAUAAACGUUCAUAUGCAAGUUUUUGUGUGGGCAUCAGUUUCCGAAUCAAGUAAAUAACUAGAAGCACAACUGCUGUGAUUACCCGAAUCAGGUAAAUAACUAGAAGCACAACAUGAUA